CUCCUGCUCCCGCGGGCCUUGGGCCUUUACCUAAUGCAGCCAUGUCAUCGCUUCUGAAAUGUAAAGCCAAACUGCUUCUCAGAAGAGGAGAUCUGAGCUGUGGGAUCACACGUGUAGUCGAGCACUCCAGCUUUUUGGCUGUUUGCUUGUAUUUGAAUCACAAGUUUCGUGCCAGCGAUAUAAAAAGAUUGUUAACAAAUGGCCAUUAAAACCGAAGACCUUGAAACUAAUUACACACAACGCUCAAAAAGAACUCGCUCUGCUAAUUGAGCGGAGCUCGUUACUUGUGAAGUAGGGAGGCUCAGCCUCCACUCACGGUGGAACAUACGGCAGGCUACGCGCGCAGCAGUCACAUCUGAACUGUUACACUUCAAAGGGCCGGGCGACGAUUGAUGUGUUACUGUCUGAGGAUGGCAACAGCUCAAAGGCAGAGAGAAACUGCAAAAGUUUUAAGUUUGAAGCUGAAGCGCGGACUUCAGAAGAGUUCGGCUUUGCACCGACUGAUUAGAGUAUAAGAAUGCAGUAAAUACAAUUUAAAAGUUAAAUUACCAUCUGGUCACAGCUAGAGGUAGAUUUCAGAAGCAGCACAAGUAAAUAGUUUCUUGCUCUCUGAACAAAUAAUUUUACAUUUCAACUAAGCCAUGUGGUAACUGGUACAAUUGAUUUCUGCUUGUAGUCAGUUACUGAACGGUUUCACAAUUGAUUUCAAUAGCCCUAGGAUGAAACUCUAUCUGCCAAGCAUACAAUGUUUGGUUGGUGCAGAUUGCAUUCAUACUGCUAAAAGCAAAAAAAAAGCUAUGGAAGGAAAUUGCCAUCUUGCGUUCAAGAGCCACGUGGAUGUGGCACUGGGGGACGUGGUCAGUGGGCAUGGCGGUGGUGGGCUGACGGUUGGACUGGAUGAUCUCAGAGGUCUUUUCCAACCUCGGUGAUCCUGUGAGUGCUGCAAAACCUGGAGCUGAGUUUGGCAUUAAAGCAGCGUGCUGUCUGUGCUGGAGGAGCUGUGGCGAGGCAGCGAUCUGCACAGCCCAGAGCCCCUCACUCUGUGCAGCCAAAUAGGAGUGGGGCUUUGGAGUUACCGGGAGCACUGCAACAGAGCCAAGAUGGAAUGCUUUGCUGGGCUGAGCUAGAGCAAUCUAAUUGAUGAUCCGUUUUACUCGUUACCAUACUGACUUGCCUCUAGGUCAGUAUAGGCUACAGGAAGUUUGUCUUUGGCAAAGAGUCUUCCUAAAGCCCAGUGGAAAUUCUCAAGUUUCUGCCUUCACUUUCAACUGCGGCUAAGAGAUGGAAGGAUCACAAGCAGGAGAGGAAACUUCUUGCCCUCAGUACCCUGCAGCUUUUUUUCUGGACCUGUGAUCCUCAGGAGACAAAGCUAUCUGAUGUCCCCAGGGCGACCUUUCCUUUUCAGUAGGUUUUAGUGCUUGAGGUUCAGCCCGCAGCCCUGUGAUUAACCACCUCCCCUGAGUAGACACAGAGCGCACUAUGUAUCACUACUGGAAACACAAAGCCCUUCAUCCUACAAAACUGUAUCAGCAAGGAGAUACCGCGCGGUGCCCCGUGGAUCCCUGUGGAUGUGCGUUCCCCACCACUGACACAGAUGGCGAGCAACAGAAUCCUCCGUGACCCAUUUUUAGAUCCAUUUGACACCUGCUUCAUAUGCUCGUGUAAAACCAGAGAUUUCAAGCUGAAAAAAAGCUUGCCAUAGUUGUUACUGGAUUAGAGGGAAUCUUUUUUUCAGCUCAUACAACAAAUUCCUUUUCCGCCUCUGGAGAGACCCACUUUAAGCUUUAGUCUAAUGGCAGGAUUGGAGAGGUUCUUUAAGCCCCCGUGGUGGCUGCAGCAUCCGUGGUUUGACAGAGAGGGGAGGCGUGGGACAGUGUGUGCAAAGUGACUGGGGCUUGUGGUUGACAAAGGGUAGUGAUGCGUCUCAACAUUCUUGUGCGCUUGCUUUGGGGGUGUGGAGCCACGUGGUGGGGUGGGGAGUGGAGAAGAGAGCAUUUUUCUUCUCUGAUUCAGUGUGGAUCUGCAGUUUUCCUUCUCCAUGAGCAGUGCAGAACUUUCCCAAAGCUGAAGAGAGUUCUCAGUCUUGCCUUUGUCUGGAAAAGCGUGUUUUAUAGCAUGAGAGCAAGGGAUAAGUGCAGCCUAAAGGGCCUGAGUCAUAUGAGCUGUCACUUAGCCAUCUAUCUAAUACCGAUUAACUACAAGACAGUUUUAGAUUUUCUUCUCUUUUUUUUCCCAAAGAAAUCAACUCAUGACUCAGUACCACAAAAAUGAAAAAGGGAAAAUUCAGGGUAGUCUCAUUUUUGGCUGAGUGAAUGAAGGACUCUUAGAUGACCCGACAUUUAUUUCCUCCUCUUACAGUGCAAACUGCAUUUUUGCUGUAGCUGGAACACUGAUUCUUACCACAAGCAGAACAGCAUGAAUGUGAGGCUGUUUGAAGAGGGGGCCUUGAUGGACAGUUGUUUUUAAAGGACUGCUUUCCUGAGAAAUGGACUUGAGUAACUCAGGCACCAUAUGCUUCCUGCUGUGCAAAGGCAUGGGUAAAUUUCUGUAUGGUUGGGCACUGGAAGUAAAUGCGGCAUAAGAAAUAGGUUUGGACACAGAACGCAGAUCCAUACUUAGUGGAUGGAAUUCAUAACACCACUGUACGGAGGCACUGGGUUGUGAAAAAGAAUCUGACUUUGGUGAGGUGAAGGAUGCAUUUUCGACCAAGGACUGAACUGAAUCAGUAGACUUAGACUAGAUAUCAGGAAGCAGUUAUUUACUGUGAGUGUGGUGAGACACUGGAACAGGUUGCCCAGAAAGGUUGUGAAUGCCCCCUCCCUGGAAGCAUUCAAGGCCAGGCUGGAUGGGACUUUGAGCAACCUGGUCUAGAGGGAGGUGUCCCUGCCCAUAGCAGAGGGUUGGAACUGGAUGAUAUUAAAGGUCCCUUCCAACCCAAACCAUUCUAUGAUUCUAUGACUGGACUCAGCCUUCAGAGCUGGCAGCACAUUUCUCAAUGUAAUGGCCUCCUAGAAGUUUACAUGCUGCAAUAAUGACAGAGUUUGAAGACCCCCAGUGUGUUCCCUAUUCAACUUCAGUUGGUUGAUUUUUUUCUGGGCAUGUCUGAGCUGGAGCUCAGCAGCAGUCCUCUCCCAAAAGUGAUUUAUACGAAAGAUCUGGCAUCCCCGGUUUCUAUUGAAUUGCAGUCCCUGCAAAUGGUCUGAUAAAAUCAGAUACUCUGAUAAAAAUCUCUACGCUUAUUCUUUGAUUACUGAGCAAGCUCAAUUUCAUCAUGGUGAAGUAGAAGCCAGCGGUUACAAUUACCUUUCCUUCCUUUCAUCUGGCUUUUAAUAUUUGGAUUUAAGAUGGAAAAAUUACAAAUGAAUAAAUCUGCACCAAGUCUAGUCAAGAUUUUUCUCUGUAUAAUAAUAUUAUUCAUAUCUCUAUGAUUAGCAACAGCUGGAAUAAAUUUUAGUAAAAAUAUAUUAAAAUCUGCAUUGUGGAGUAAGCCACAUGGAGUCACUGUAAUUUGAGGAAGGAAAAAGUUUUCAUAAAAGCUACUGAGAAAGGAAUAUGGAUUUUUCUUUCAGGUGACUUUUUUCCAUUUUGUUUUCGCAAGCAGAUCUGGUUUUAUUUCACUGUGCUCAACUUUCUGGUGCUCGUGUUGGACAAACACUUGAGAUACAGCAGUACCUCAACCAGCCACGCUGGACACUGCUUCUUCUCACUAAACCAAGGUGUACCGAGCUGCUCAAGCUGUGUUAAAGCAAAGUUUUCAGCUGCCAUUACAAUGACCUAAUCCAGUGCUGGUGCUAUAUCAGCUGGAAAGCUAUUAGGCAGCUCCACUUUUCACCUGCAAACAUCAUCUGUACCAGCUGCUGUUUUCAGAAAGUGGCUGAGAAAUGCGCAGGCAGCCAAUAGAUCAGUUAGAAUCAAAGCAAUAAAACUCUGUACAGCUUCUCGAGAGAAAUAAUUUGAAACCCCAGUUCAGUGGCCAACUGAAAAGGGCAGCAUCAGGAGGAAGUAGAGUGGGGAAGAGGCAGCUGGGAAUUACUGGAGCAGCUUUUCAGUGCUCCCUUUUCUCUCUGCGUUGUUCCAUAUGUCUAAAUGACCCUCAGACUGGAGGUGGGCUGAAGUGGACCCUCCUUAGAGGUCCUUGCUUCUUCAGUAGUCAUCUGCACUCCUGAGAAUCUGCUGUAGACAGAUAACAUAUGUUGCAAAGCGUGAGGAAUUUUUAAUAAAAAUAUAAAGAACUUUCUGAAUGAAAGUGAUUACCUAAGUGUGGGAAUGCCAGAGAGAAGAGCGGAAUGGUAGGUGCAGAUGGCACCUCAGCCAGCAGGUCAUCAAGGUGACAACGGGUCUGUGUGAGACUAACCAGAACCUCCUAAAACCGAAGACAGUCUACACAGCGAGCAAAAUGAAGGACAGGCUAAUAAACCAGAGCCCUCAAGAAGUGAUGAAAGGAAGAAAAAAGCAGGCAAGGAGCCAUAAAACACCCAGAUAAGGACAGAAAAGCAAAUACUAAGCCAGGGGUGGAACAGGAUGAGGAAACAAAAGAUCACACUGUCAACUCUUAGGAGAUCCAAGAGCAGCACUUGGCUUCCAGUCCGUGGAGAACCUAGGCGACAUGUUGAGAUGCCUACAGAUGUCCCUUUCCAUCUUCACCACCACAAGUCACCUGGGCCAGAGCACCUGGACCCAUCCAUUUUGGUGUUUGGAAGCAUGAAGGCAAACACAAGCUCAGGAUUGCAGCUCCUCCUGUUAGUGGGUGCCACAGGGCUCCUUCCUCCCAGGCUCUGGGAUCACAUCUUCUCUCCAAGGAGGCGAGUGAUGAGCUCACCAAUGUUGGUAAAAAUGAAUUUGAAAGUCUAACUGGUUAUCACUGGAUAUCACAGAUGGAGAAUAAUUACUUGACAGAUUGGCAAACUGAGAUUAUCUGCAAAUAUUAUGAGAGACAUUGGAAGCUCUUCUAAAACACGCCAUUAUUUUAAAUAGCAUUUUGCAAUUGUGGUACCUCCCUUGUGGAUACUGUGGCUGAAUAUUGCAAGUAUGAAAAACAAUGCCAUAGUUGAAGGUUUGUCGCUGAAAAGCACCACCUCGUGUUUCCUACACCCUGCUUCCCACAGCGAGACUUAUUCUAGAGUAGAAAAUAAAUGAAGAGGUAAUAAUUAACUAAAUGUGUCUCAAAUACAAGAAAUCCUACACAGAGCUAUAUUGUUCACCUUUAAUCGCUGCAAAUGAAAUGAUGGUUGGUGGAUUUCCUGCAGGUUACCAAGAGGCAGACGGUUAAACCUUUUGCCUUGAGAUGUGCUCCUUCUCCCAUUAUUGGCCUUCAUCUUCUGAGCUCAGCUUACAGAGAGGUCAGUUUAGUCUCUGAAAUCUAAUUUCAAGAAUAAGCCACAAACAACAAAGAAUGCUGCCAGACUCUGUUCAGUCACGACGAUAAUAGUUUUCCUCCACUCAGCAUCUCAGCUGGUGAUUAUUCUUGAUAAAUGCAAAGCCCAUCUGUACAUUAUUGUGUCCAAACAACAGACCUGUAGCCAUGAGAGCAAUGGCUUGACCAAGGUGUUGCACUCAGGUCAGGGUAAUUCCUGAUACGUGUACAGUCUGGGAGAAGAACUCAUUGAGGGCAGCCCCGCGGAGGAGGACCUGCGGUCUCUGAUAGAUAAAAGGCUUGACAUGAGCCAUCAGUGUGCUCUUGCAACCCAGAAGGCCAACAGUAUCCUGGUCAGCAUCAACAGAGGGGUGGCCAGCAGGGAGAGGAAGGUGAUUAUUCCCCUCUGCUCUGCCUUCAUGAGGCCCAGUACUGCAUUCAGACCUGGGGCCUCCAGCACAAGAAAGAUGUGGAGCUGUUGGAGGAUGUCCAGAUGAGGGCCACGAAGAUGCUCAGAGGGCUGGAGCACCUCUCCUGUGAAGAAAGGCUGAGGGAGCUGGGCUUGUUCAGCCUGGAGAAGAGAAGGCUCCGGGGACACCUCUCUGUGGCCUUCCAGUACUUGAGAGGAGUUUAUAAACAGGAGGAGAACCAACAUUUCACACAGUCUAAUAGUGAUAGGACAAGGGAAAAUGGCUUUAAACUAAAAGUGGGGAGAUUUGGGUUAGAUGUUAGGCAGAAAAUUUUUACUCAGAGAGAGGUGAGGCCCUGGCACAGCUGCCCAGAGAAGCUGUGGGUGCCCCAUCCCUGGAGGCACUCAGGGCCAGGUUGGAUGGGGUCCUGGGCAGCCUGAGCUGCUGGGGAGCAGCCCUGCCCAUGGCAGAGGGUUGGGGCUGCAUGGGCUUUGUGGUCUCUUCCAACUCAAGCCGUUCUAUGGUUCUUUGAUCUAUGAUUCCUGUGGCUCUUUUCAAAAAUGCAACAAACUAUUGAUAUUUUCAGACCAGAAAGCUAAACCAAAGUGUUUCUUGCCUCCUCCUAAAAUGGUUUGAAAAAACCCUCUGAUUCUUAAACUUAGAAAUAUUAGUCCCAUGUUCUUUGUGAGAUUAGAAUCAGAAUCACAGAAUCGCAGUGGUUGGAAGGGACCUCUGGAGAUCAUCCAGUCCAUACUUGCCUGAUAAUACCAGUUCCCAAGAGUAAGUUGCAAGAGUUAGAGGAAGAGACUCUGAAAAUCUUCUUUUCUGAUCUCCUGUAUAAUCCAGUACAGAGAAUUUCACAAAAUCAGUGGCAAAUUUCUGUCUUAUUAGCAGUGUUGGCUCCUUGUACUCCACACAGCCCUCACUCACCCCUUUUGAUGUCAGCUGAAAGGGUGCUGUUGAAUUGGAGAGGACCCGUACAGAAGACAGCAGUUCCUGGAGUCCUACAAGACUCUGUCAGGGAGAUCUUGGUAUUUUACCUCAUACCUUCUUCAAAAAUGAUAAACCAGAAGACAAGUAAACUGUGUUAUAACAUGAAGGAUAAAAUCCAUAAUUCAGGACAGCACAGAAAGCACCUGGUUUCGUGCUUCAUUUCCAUUUCUAAACAUAGAAGAGAUUCACAGAAGCAUCUGCUGAGCUUUUGAAUGACUUUGGAUCAGUCGUAAGUGCCUGUAUGCCAAAAGCAAACCAAACACACACAUGAAAACAGGCAAAUUGCAGUGACACCAGGUCAGUUUACAUCCCAAACCGAUAGCAAGUCUGCUUUGGUAACGAAUGCACCCAAUAGAAAGAAUGCAGAAACUUUGCAUGUUCUUCACAACAUGAGAAUGCUGAACAUUAAACAGUUGCAAAAAAUAUGUACUUAACCUUUGGGUUUUAUAUCCCUGCUUUUCAUUCUCUCCGCUUAUAGAUAAGGACAGUCAGAUUAGAUGGAGAUUUGCAAGUGGUAAAAGACGUUGUUGUUCAAGGAAUAGUUUCUAUUCGUUAUGGUAAAUACUUGGUCAAAGCAAAACUUGAGAUUUUGGGAUAGCCACGUUGUGUGCCUGAGAUCACUGAGUUACAGCCUGAGGGCCACAGCAAAAUCAGGGGAAAUUUCAGAGAGCAGAUCAGACCUUUUGGAGUGUCGUUGACUGUACAGAAGAAAUGUCUUCAUUUGCUUGGUUUGAAG
ensembl:lncRNA